UGAUACAAACAUGGAACACAAAAAUGGCGUCAAACUCCAUCGAUUCAUGAAUUUGAUUUUUGGUUAAGAGGACGGUAAUUUGAUCUUCCAGCUUGUCAGUGUUUGGUCAGCUGACAGUAAUUGAAAUGUCAAUAACGCGAUCAAACGCAUUCGACGGGUGACAGUAAUAGUUUCCAAAGUAUUCUUCUUGAAUUAUUGAUAAUAGCGUCAAUAAUUUCGAAACUUUUACAGGAAAUUGGCGACAAAUUAUACUUUUGAUAAUAAAAGGAUGAAAGUCCAUAGACUGGAUCAUACAACGUCAGGAUGAGUAAUCAAAAGAAUUAAACGAAGCAAGUGAAAAGUGUGUUGCGCUGCAAAAGAAUUACUGGACUAAAAGGAUGAUAAACCAAGUAUCAUUCUAAUUGGAAAAUAAAAUCAAAAAAGAGAAAGUAUAGUGACAGA